GUCUACGGCCAUACUACCUUCAAAACACCGGUUCUCGUCCGAUCACCGAAGUUAAGCAACGUCGGGUCUGAUUAGUACUUGGAUGGGAGACCGCUUGGGAAUACCGGGUACUGUAGACA
rnacentral:rRNA from 1 species